rnacentral:rRNA from 1 species
UACAGAGGGUGCAAGCGUUAAUCGGAAUUACUGGGCGUAAAGGGCGCGUAGGCGGUUCGAUAAGUCGGGUGUGAAAGCCCCGGGCUUAACCUGGGAAUUGCAUUCGAUACUGUCGGGCUCGAGUAUGGUAGAGGAAAGCGGAAUUCCACAUGUAGCGGUGAAAUGCGUAGAUAUGUGGAGGAACAUCAGUGGCGAAGGCGGCUUUCUGGACCAAUACUGACGCUGAGGCGCGAAAGCGUGGGGAG